CGACGUGAGGAACCUGCCUUGGAGUGGGGAAUAACAGCUAGAAAUAGCUGCUAAUACCGCAUAAAGCAGUUGGGUCGCAUGACUCUGACUGCCAAAGAUUUAUCGCUCUGAGAUGGCCUCGCGUCUGAUUAGAUAGUUGGCGGGGUAACGGCCCACCAAGUCGACGAUCAGUAGCCGGACUGAGAGGUUGGCCGGCCACAUUGGGACUGAGACACGGCCCAGACUCCUACGGGAGGCAGCAG
rnacentral:rRNA from 1 species